rnacentral:rRNA from 1 species
GACGAACGCUGGCGGCGUGCUUAACACAUGCAAGUCGAACGGAAAGGCCCUGCUUUUGUGGGGUGCUCGAGUGGCGAACGGGUGAGUAACACGUGAGUAACCUGCCCUUGACUUUGGGAUAACUUCAGGAAACUGGGGCUAAUACCGGAUAGGAGCUCCUGCUGCAUGGUGGGGGUUGGAAAGUUUCGGCGGUUGGGGAUGGACUCGCGGCUUAUGAGCUUGUUGGUGGGGUAGUGGAUUACAAAGGCUUUGACGGGUAGCCGGCCUGGGAGGGUGACAGGGCACAGAGGGAGAGGGAAGGGAGCAGGAGGGAAACGGGAGGCAGGGGGGGAAAAGAGAGGGAGAAGGGCGGAGGGAGGAAGGAGGAACGUCGGGUGCGGAAAGACGGCUUUCGGGGAGGAAAAAGCUUGCGCGUGUGAAGAAGCGUGAGGAAGGGAAAUGGGUAAAGAAGCACGGGCAAACAACGU